UACGGAGGGUGCUAGCGUUGUUCGGAAUUACUGGGCGUAAAGCGCGUGUAGGCGGCUUGGCAAGUCGGUUGUGAAAUCCCCGGGCUUAACCCGGGAACUGCAAUCGAAACUACCUAGCUAGAGUCUCGGAGAGGAAGGCAGAAUUCCCAGUGUAGGGGUGAAAUCCGUAGAUACUGGGAGGAAUACCGGUAGCGAAGGCGGCCUUCUGGACGAUGACUGACGCUCAGACGCGAAAGCGUGGGGAGCAAACAGG
rnacentral:rRNA from 1 species